rnacentral:rRNA from 1 species
UUGCCAGCCGCCGCGGUUAGACGAGGGACUCAAGUUGAUAGCCCCCGGCGUAAAGCGUGGUUAAAUGAAAUAAAAGAAUAAAGCCGAAAACAUCUCUAUGCAGUAACAAGUAAGUUAGUAGGAAGAACAAUUACGAAAGUAGCUUUAAAAUAUUGAUGCCACGAAAGCUGGGGAACAAACUGGGAUUAGAGACCCCAUUAUGCCCAGUCCUAAACGUAAACGAGAUGACACCAAUCCCUCGUUCGCCUGGUAAUUACGAGCACAACUAAUACGAGCUUAAAACCCAACGGACUUGGCGG